rnacentral:rRNA from 1 species
UACGUAGGGGGCAAGCGUUGUCCGGAAUCAUUGGGCGUAAAGCGCGCGUAGGCGGCCCGGUAAGUCCGUUGUGAAAGUCAAAGGCUCAACCUUUGAGCGCCGAUGGAUACUGCCGGGCUAGAGUCCGGAAGAGGCGAGUGGAAUUCCUGGUGUAGCGGUGGAAUGCGCAGAUAUCAGGAGGAACACCAAUAGCGAAGGCAGCUCGCUGGGACGGUACUGACGCUGAGGCGCGAAAGCGUGGGGAGCGAACAGG